CAAAAUAUGUAAAUAAAUUAUACACAAUCAAGAUCAGCUGAUAGUCAUUUGAUAGCUUACCAACACCAGUGGAAAUAUAUUCACAGUAUAAUAUAAUGAGA